UUUCUUUCUUUUAAAAAAAAAGUUUUUAUUGAUUUCAAAGAGAAGGUGUGUAGAGGGAGAGAGAGAUAAGAGAGCAACAUCAAUUGGCUGCCUCCUGCACACCCUUAAGAGGAAUCAAGCCCGCAUAUGCCCGACCAGGAAUUGAACUGGCCACCUUUUUUGGUGCACUGGACUACACCCAAGCAACUGAGCUAUGCAACCAAGGUUGAAGAAGGUUCUUUAGCAUUUCUUACAAGGCCAGUAUACUAAUGAUGAACUGCAGCUCUUGUCUGGAAAUUAUCAUUCCUUCAAUUCUGAAGGACGGCUUUGCUGGUAAAAGUCUUUUAGUUGGAAGUUUUUUCUUUCUACACUUUGAAUAUAUCAUGCCACUCAAUCUGAUCUGUAAAGUUUCUGCUAAAAAAUCUGCUUAUUGUCUUACUGUGGUUCCCUUGUACAUAACAGAUUGUCUCUUGCUGCUUUUAAGAUUCUCUCCUUAUCUUUUACUUUGACAAUUUAAUUACAAUGUGUCUUAGUGUGGGGCUCUCUGCAUUCCCCUCCCCCCCCCCUUUUUUUUUAACUCUUUGGGCUUCCUUGUAUGGUUUUUUGUUUCAUUUCCCAGAUUGUAAGUUUUCUUGCCAUGAUUUCUUUGAAUAAGCUUUUCCCCCCUUUCUCUCUUCUCCUUCUGGGACCCCAGUAAUGCAUAUAUUUGCCCAUUUGAUUAUGUCACAUAAAGCCUCUAGCCAUCUUAACUUUUGAUUUUGAACCCCUCUGUUGAAUUUUCUAGUGUAAUUAUUGUCUUCUUCAAUUCUGUGUGAUACUUAUAUUUUCUUUCUCUUUUAAAAUUCUCACUUUAUGCAUUUAUUCUCUUAACCUUGUUGAGCAUCUUUAUGACCAUCAAUUGGAUUUUUUUAUCAGGUAAAUCACUUGUCUCUUUUUAAUUAAGGUCUGUUUCUGGAAUGUUUUUUGUUCUUUUGUUUGGAACAUAUUCCUCUAUUUCUUCAUUUUCCUUUACUCUCUGUGUUGGUUUCUGUGCACUAGAUAAAACAGCCACCUCUCCCAGUCUUAACAGAAUGAUCUUGUAGGACACAAUCAGCCUGGCCAGAGCUCCUUAUUGCCUCUUAAACUGUAGCAACUGUCCUUGUGGCCUUCUUUGUUUUUAGUUGCUCCCAAUAGCUGAAGAUGUGCCAACAACCAGUGUCCUAAAAGGGAGGAUUGAGGUGAAUACCUAGAUGCAGGCUGAUUAGAAACUAACAUCAGGCAGCAGCUGGGAAAGGAUAUAUUAGGGCUCUUCUGGGCAGAUGGCAGUGGGCAGUGGGGGUUAGCACCCAUUAAUACCUGCUGCUUUGCUUUAGUUUUUGUUGGAUCCAUGAGUGCAAGCCUUGUUGGCUAUCAAAGCCGGGUGAUCCAAGGGCCUGAUCUUUGAGUAGCACCUAGGAAAGUUGAGUUGCCACACAGGUGUGCAAGCUCCUUCUAGGAAAUACUGAUUUGUAGUGGGCAUAAGUCAGAAGGCAGAGGUGGCAUCUACUGACAUCCCUGUUCUCGAGGGAGGAUCACAGUCAACUCCUAAUUGUGGGCUAAAUUUUCCUGUCAUCCUCCAUAAAAAAAUUGUUUUUGCACCCUU